AUUGAACGCUGGCGGCAGGCCUAACACAUGCAAGUCGAACGAGUGGCGGACGGGUGAGUAAUGUAUGGGGAACUGCCUGAUGGCGGGGGAUAACUACUGGAAACGGUAGCUAAUACCGCAUACCCUCAGAUGAACCCAUAUGGGAUUAGCUAGUUGGUAGGGUAACGGCUAACCUAGGCGACGAUCCCUAGCUGGUCUGAGAGGAUGACGAGCAAGAGUGGGACGGAGACACGGCCCAGACUCCACCGGGAGGCAGCAGUGGGGAACAUUGCACAGUGGGCGCAAUCCUGAUGCAGCCAGGCGGGGUGGAUGAAGAAGGCCUUCGGGUGGUAAAUUACUUUCAGCGGGGAGGCGGUACCGGCAGAGGAAGCACCGGCUAACUCCGUGCCAGCAGCCGCGGUAAUUC
rnacentral:rRNA from 1 species